rnacentral:rRNA from 1 species
GACAGAGGGUGCAAACGUUGUUCGGAAUUCCUGGGCGUAAAGCGCGUGUAGGCGGCUCAGUAAGUCGGGCGUGAAAUCCCACGGCUCAACCGUGGAAGUGCACUCGAAACUGCAUAGCUAGAGUCCUGGAGAGGAAGGUGGAAUGCUUGGUGUAGAGGUGAAAUUCGUAGAUAUCAAGCGGAACACCGGUGGCGAAGGCGGCCUUCUGGACAAUGACUGACGCUGAGACGCGAAAGCGUGGGGAGCAAACAGG